ACCCUACGGGGGGCAGCAGUAGGGAAUCUUCCACAAUGGACGAAAGUCUGAUGGAGCAACGCCGCGUGAGUGAAGAAGGGUUUCGGCUCGUAAAGCUCUUGUGGUAGUGGAGAAAGAUAGAGGUAGUAACUGGCCUUUAUUUGACGGUAAUUACUUAGAAAGUCACGGCUAACUACCUGCCAGCAGCCGCGGUAAUUCGUAGGUGGGAAGCGUUGUCCGGUUUUAUUGGGCGUA
rnacentral:rRNA from 1 species